UACGGGGGGUGCGAGCGUUGUCCGGAUUCACUGGGCGUAAAGGGCGCGUAGGCGGCUGACUCAGUCUGGUCUAUAAGGUGUGGGCUUACCCCGCACACGGAUUGGGGACGGGUUGGCUGGGGGUCGGUCGAGGGAAGCGGAAUGCCGGGUGUAGUGGUGAAAUGCGUAGAGAUCCGGCGGAACACCGGUGGUGAAGGCGGCUUCCUUGGCCGAACCCGACGCUGAGGCGCGAGAGCGCGGGGAGCGAACC
rnacentral:rRNA from 1 species